AACGAACGCUGGCGGCAUGCCUAACACAUGCAAGUCGAACGAAGCCUUCGGGCUUAGUGGCGUCUGGCUGUGUCACGCGAGGGGAUCUGCACCUUUGUUUGGCCUAACAGUUAGAAAUGAAUGACUAUACCGGACGAAGUCUACGGACGAAAGAUUUAUUGGAACGGGAUGAGCACGAGUAGAAUACGGUGGUUGGUGGGGUAAAAGGUUAAUAAGCCGCCAAUUCUUAACUGGUUAGAGAGGAUGGUCAGCCACACUUGGAGUGAGACCCGGCCCAGACUCUUACGGAAGGCAGCAGUGGGGAAUAGUGGACAGUGGACGCAAGUCUGAUCCAGCUAGGCCGCGUGAGUUAUGAAAGUCUGAGGGAUGUAAAGCUCUUGUACCAGGGAUGAUAAUGACGGUACCUGGUGAAUAAGCCCCGGCUAACUCCGUG
rnacentral:rRNA from 1 species